rnacentral:rRNA from 1 species
CAGCAGCCGCGGUAAUACGGAGGAUCCAAGCGUUAUCCGGAAUCAUUGGGUUUAAAGGGUCCGUAGGCGGUCUUGUAAGUCAGUGGUGAAAGCCCAUCGCUCAACGGUGGAACGGCCAUUGAUACUGCAGGACUUGAAUUAUUGGGAAGUAACUAGAAUAUGUAGUGUAGCGGUGAAAUGCUUAGAGAUUACAUGGAAUACCAAUUGCGAAGGCAGGUUACUACCAAUUGAUUGACGCUGAUGGACGAAAGCGUGGGUAGCGAACAGGAUUAGAUACCCGCGUAGUCCCUGUCUCUUAUAC